AACAGCUAUUUCAUCAUACAUGAAGCAUCAUAGCUUUUUGCAUGUUGGUGGGGCCCUAUGUUGUGCAGUAGAUGGUGCCCUUUUGAUUUUUUCACCCCUACCUUCCAAAUAGCCUGUCCACUACUGUUGUAAAAUACAUGGGUGAAUUAAGAGGAAUAAACUCAAUAAAACACCAAAAUGUAUCUGCCAUAUAAACAUGUACAUGUGUAUAAAUAAACUACUCAUAAUGCAGUGUGUUUGACAUUCCUCUUUAUUACAAGAUUCCUUCCUGUCAGCCCGAGACAGAGCUCGUCUGACGCUACGCCAAGCCCAACACGGCACAGUCACACAGAUACAGUGCUUAGGGUCCAAGAACGACAGACACACA